UAGCUACUCCCUCUAUCCCAAAAUUCUUGUCUUAGAUCUGUCUAGAUACGGAUGUAUCUAAUACUAAAAUGUGACUUGAUACAUCCGUAUCUAGACAAAUCUAAGACAAGAAUUUUGGGACGGAGGGAGUACUUU
rfam:Triticum aestivum genome assembly, contig: Triticum_aestivum_CS42_TGACv1_scaffold_592006_7BS